UUGUUGCAUAGUGUGAAGUGAUGUACAGUUAGUAUACAUUCUCCUUUAAGUGCAGGAGGUAGCAUGCCAGCCCUUCCGGUACUACGCGAGCAACGCUGGACGUCCCUGGUGAGAAUUCACCUAUUCUGGGAGGUAUUGUUGGUGGAAUUGACGGGAGAUUUUACCAUUACCAAAUACAAUACCUAGUUGUAAGAGUUUGAUGUACCGGCAAGCAUGGAGUGGUAUGCGCUACUGUUUGCCAAGGGGCCUAAGCUGCAUUUCUGUAUUGUUCGCUUAUAGCAGCCACCAAGAAUGGAUGACGCAAAGCUGCACACCUUGCUGUCAAGUGACACACAGCAGGAAGGAGACACAGUCAUUCUAACAUAUGACAUAGUAGACAGUACAAAUGCAAGGGCAUUCAGUGACACAAAUACACAUUUAAUGCCUCCAAGCACAAGUGCCGAAAACACUAUUCACUGGGAACAGAAUGGAAGCAGCUCCCAACAAUGCGCUGAGCAACGCAUUUCGUCUCCAUCCAACCAAGAUAUUGGAAGUGCACAUAGAGUACAUCCACUCCCUCAAAGUGCCAUGGCGACUUCCUCGUAUGUAAGUGUUCUGGAAAAGGAAAAGGAAUACCUUGAAGUAAAGAGCGCUGCCAUGCAAGAGGCAAUAGCAACAUUGCAAGAAAUAAAGAGGACUAGUCGUGUUAUAGGUAAGCACCCUUGCAGCAGAAUAGACUGAUAGGUGAAUAUUACAAGGCACUUUCAGAGACUGAGCACCUUAAACAGCAGCGUUUACGAUUCGAAAUAGGAAAGAUGCAGAGGGGUGUGCUCUCCUCAUCUCAAAUGUAGAUGGUGCAAGAUAGGUAUUGCAUGUGACAAACACUCAGUGUACAUAACUUGAUUUAUGACAAUAAAUCAUAA